rnacentral:lncRNA from 1 species
AACAACCUACCGGCAGAUGCGACGGGAACGACGGAGACGGCUGAGAAAAUUGGUACGCUUUCACUCCUCCGUUUUCCUUCGUCUUCUCUUCCUUCUAUCCGUUUUUAGUGCUAUAGAUGAUUUUGCCUAUAUCCACGGAGGCUUGUUUCGUUGCUCCUGCUGACACACUGCGAUUUGAUUUGCAGGAAUUAUGGUGGAUUGGUUAUGGUAACGCAUGAUUGGUACAUGGUGAUGGAGACGACGAUGCGAGAACGAGGAGUUCUUGGAAGGAUUUAAGGAGGUAUUAUGCAGGUGGUGGAGAUUGUCGUGCGGGAAUAAGAGAAAGGGAAGAAGAAGUUUUUGGAAGAUUUGAGAAGUUGUUCGAGUUUGUUACGGUGGUGGAAGAGGAUAAUGGAAAAGUGUGGAAGAAGAAUUUCGG